rnacentral:rRNA from 1 species
AUUGAACGCUGGCGGCAGGCCUAACACAUGCAAGUCGAACGGAGCGGCGGACGGGUGAGUAAUGCCUAGGAAUCUGCCUGGUAGUGGGGGAUAACGUCCGGAAACGGGCGCUAAUACCGCAUACUAUCAGAUGAGCCUAGGUCGGAUUAGCUAGUUGUUGGGGUAAAGGCCUACCAGGGCUACGACCUGUAACUGGUCUGAGAGGAAGAUCAGUCACACUGGAACUGAGACACGGUCCAGACUCCUACGGGAGGCAGCAGUGGGGAAUAUUGCGCAAUGGGCGCAAGCCUGAUCCAGCCAUGCCGCGUGUGUGAAGAAGGUCUUCGGGUUGUAAAGCUCUUUAAGUUGGGAGGCGUUACCUACAGAAUAAGCACCGGCUAACUUCGUGCCAGCAGCCGCGGUAAUUC